rnacentral:sRNA from 1 species
UAAUAUAAAAUUUUAAAA